rnacentral:rRNA from 1 species
CCUACGGGUGGCAGCAGUCGAGAAUCAUUCACAAUGGGGGAAACCCUGAUGGUGCGACGCCGCGUGGGGGAAUGAAGGUCUUCGGAUUGUAAACCCCUGUCAUGUGGGAGCAAAUUAAAAAGAUAGUACCACAAGAGGAAGAGACGCCUAACUCUGUGCCAGCAGCCGCGGUAAUACAGAGGUCUCAAGCGUUGUUCGGAAUCACUGGGCGUAAGGCGUGCGUAGGCUGUUUCGUAAGUCGUGUGUGAAAGGCGCGGGCUCAACCCGCGGACGGCACAUGAUACUGCGAGACUAGAGUAAUGGAGGGGGAACCGGAAGUCUCGGUGUAGCAGUGAAAUGCGUAGAUAUCGAGAGGAACACUCGUGGCGAAGGCGGGUUCCUGGACAUUAACUGACGCUGAGGCACGAAGGCCAGGGGAGCGAAAGGGAUUAGAUACCCGAGUAGUC